UACGUAGGGGGCGAGCGUUGUCCGGAUUCAUUGGGCGUAAAGCGCGCGUAGGCGGCUCGACAAGUCGGCCGUGAAAUCUCCAGGCUCAACUUGGAGGGGUCGGGCGAGACUGUCGGGCUCGAGGUGGGCAGAGGGCAGUGGAAUUCCGGGUGUAGUGGUGGAAUGCGUAGAGAGUCCGGAGGAACACCAGUGGCGAAGGCGGCUGCCUGGCCUGGCCUGACGCUGAGGCGCGAAAGCGUGGGGAGCGAGUCCGG
rnacentral:rRNA from 1 species